AAUAGAUACCCGGGUAGUCCACGCCGUAAACGAUGAGUACUAGGUGUAGGAGGGUCCAACCUUCUGUGCCGCAGUUAACACAAUAAGUACUCCGCCUGGGAAGUACGAUCGCAAGAUUAAAACUCAAAGGAAUUGACGGGGGCCCGCACAAGCAGCGGAGCAUGUGGUUUAAUUCGAAGCAACGCGAAGAACCUUACCUGGACUUGACAUCCCCUGAAUUACUCGUAAUGGAGGAAGCCCUUCGGGGCAGGGAGACAGGUGGUGCAUGGUUGUCGUCAGCUCGUGUCGUGAGAUGUUAGGUUAAGUCCUGCAACGAGCGCAACCCUUAUCAUUAGUUGCUACCAUUAAGUUGAGCACCCUAGUGAGACUGCCCGGGUUAACCGGGAGGAAGGUGGGGAUGACGUCAAAUCAUCAUGCCCCUUAUGUCCAGGGCUACACACGUGCUACAAUGGUGAGUACAAUUAGAUGCAAACCCGCGAGGGGGAGCCGAAACUAAAAAACUCAUCCCAGUUCGGAUUGUAGGCUGAAACUCGCCUACAUGAAG
rnacentral:rRNA from 1 species